CUGGUGUGACACCAUAUCCUCAUUUUAAAUUGGGCAAUUCCAUGGAGGAAUUUAUUUAGCUUCUAUAACCCCAUUCAAGGUCAUGUUUCUGAAGCCCCCUGUGAAGGCAAGGACAUGUGCACAUGGACUCAAGAGUCUCGAGCCCCGAGCCCUCCAAUGUCGGACAACAGGCCAAAUAUGAUUUACUCUAUUGAAGAUUACAUUUGCAUGCAAACUACUAAGGCUCUGACCACCUCAGAAUAAACAGGGCUACCAGGAGGCAGUGGUCGGUCGAGACGCUGGGACAGGUUGAAAAGUUUAGGUGGGGGGAAUGCCUCCCAGUCCAGCUGCUCUCUUUGCAACCAGGAUGGGCUCCUACAAGAUCUAGUACUCCGCUUUUCUCUUCUCCUGAGGGUCAGAAAAAUAAUGAUUUUUGAAGUUUAAUGUGUAACACCAUCAUCAAAACUAUAGAGCACAGCAUAUUUGCUUAUGCCUGUAUAUUCAAGGAAAUGUAAAUACUCAUUCAUGAACAGAUGAAUAUCAGGAUCAUACAUAAUUGUUUAGAUUAUUCUAUUGAGAGAUCCCAAAACUGUUGGCAUGUCCUCAUGAUUAUGACUGAUUUUUUAAAUUAAUAUGAAUGUGCAAAUAAUGCAAUAAGGUUUUGUAUUGUGUCUAAGAAAACCCCCGUACUUGUGGUACAAUCACUGUAAUGCAUGGAUUAUAGUGGCCUACUGCUUUUAUAAAACAGCAGCUACAGAACUAUAAUAAAAGACACCAGUGUUCAACAAACUCUUACAUUUAUUCCACUAUGUAAUACAGUUCAUUAUUUUAACUGUAGGCUGUUUGACAAGGUUUUUUUAAAGU